CAUCCCCUUUAAUAGCGAGCGGACCCUCCGUGCGUCACCGCGCCGCCGCUCGCCCACACCGGGGGGAGAGAGA
rnacentral:snoRNA from 1 species